rnacentral:lncRNA from 1 species
UCUUCCUAAAUAGUAACAAACUGGGCUACUAAUCCAUUUUCUUCAUGCACUGCUGAAAUAUAGGGAACAAGGAACAGAAAAUGAUGAAACCAGAAGCAGGGCUACAGUUGUUUCUGAAGAUGUACCUGGAGAGCUGCUGGAUUCACAACCUGUUUUACAUGACCAUGUAGAAGAUGUUAACAUCUUUUAUCUCAAGACAGGAAAUAAUGAAGGAAAAAUAUUUGACUUCAUUGUGAGCUCCGAGUGCAGUUUUGAUGGCUUCAGUACUGAGGAUGUGCAUGUUAAGCAGUAGAGAGGAACAGACUGCAAUACCAGGUAUGAAUGGAGAUGUCGUCUUGUUAUGCUGAGCCAAAGUGAUUCUGGUUAGCAGUGCCCAGAAUACCAAAGGAGACCACUAGCCAAUGCAUUACUUCUUGAAUGUAAAAUGUAAUGUUUUAUCAAAUGUAGAAGAGAGUGGGGUAAACUAUCGGAUAGCA